GAUGAAGAACGUAGCGAAAUGCGAUAAGUAAUGUGAAUUGCAGAAUUCAGUGAAUCAUCGAAUCUUUGAACGCACAUUGCGCCCGCCAGUAUUCUGGCGGGCAUGCCUGUCUGAGCGUCAUUUCAACCCUCAUGCCCCUAGGGCGUGGUGUUGGGGAUCGGCCAAAGCCCGCGAGGGACGGCCGGCCCCUAAAUCUAGUGGCGGUCCCGUCGUGGCCUCCUCUGCGAAGUAGUGAUAUUCCGCAUCGGAGAGCGACGAGCCCCUGCCGUUAAACCCCCAACUUUCCAAGGUUGACCUCAGAUCAGGUAGGAAUACCCGCUGAACUUAAGCAUAUCAAUAAGCGGAGGA
rnacentral:misc_RNA from 1 species